rnacentral:rRNA from 1 species
AACGAACGCUGGCGGCGUGCCUAAUACAUGCAAGUCGAGCGAAUCAAUAGGAGCUUGCUCCUGUUGGUUAGCGGCGGACGGGUGAGUAACACGUGGGCAACCUGCCUGUAAGAUCGGGAUAACUUCGGGAAACCGGAGCUAAUACCGGAUAAUCCUUUCCUACACAUGUAGGGAAGCUGAAAGACGGUUUCGGCUGUCACUUACAGAUGGGCCCGCGGCGCAUUAGCUAGUUGGUGAGGUAACGGCUCACCAAGGCGACGAUGCGUAGCCGACCUGAGAGGGUGAUCGGCCACACUGGGACUGAGACACGGCCCAGACUCCUACGGGAGGCAGCAGUAGGGAAUCGUCCGCAAUGGACGAAAGUCUGACGGAGCAACGCCGCGUGAGCGAUGAAGGCCUUCGGGUCGUAAAGCUCUGUUGUUAGGGAAGAACAAGUAUCGGAGUAACUGCCGGCACCUUGACGGUACCUAACCAGAAAGCCACGGCUAACUACGUGCCAGCCGCCGCCGUAAUAC